rnacentral:lncRNA from 1 species
CUCAGCCCCCACCCGACUUCGCCCCAGCCCCCAUCCGGCGCCGCCCGAGCCCCCACCCCUAUUUCCUCUCUUCACCGUCGCCGAAUGAUAUCUAUGCGAUGGUAGAAAAAGGUAAAAAAAAAAUUUGUUUUUAAUCAUCUUUCAAUGGUUUUAGGGUUUGUGGGAAGGUUCCUAUUUAAUAACGAUAUUGUGAAAAAGACUAUUAAUUCUUAUAAUUAAUUUUUUUCUUGUUCAAAUUGAUAGAGUGACCAUCGUUAUUGAAAUUCGACAACAACCGUUGGCUGGAGGUGAAUUUGGCAAUUAAUGGAUUAGAUGGGUGUUGUUUUUUGGAUCGGCGAUCAUGAUUUGUAUUGAUAUGUAUCUCUUCUUUUUUCAUUUUAUGUUUAAC